rnacentral:rRNA from 1 species
GACGAACGCUGGCGGCGUGCUUAACACAUGCAAGUCGAACGAAGAGCGAUGGAAGCUUGCUUCUAUCAAUCUUAGUGGCGAACGGGUGAGUAACGCGUAAUCAACCUGCCCUUCAGAGGGGGACAACAGUUGGAAACGACUGCUAAUACCGCAUACGAUCUAACCUCGGCAUCGAGGAUAGAUGAAAGGUGGCCUCUAUUUAUAAGCUAUCACUGAAGGAGGGGAUUGCGUCUGAUUAGCUAGUUGGAGGGGUAACGGCCCACCAAGGCGAUGAUCAGUAGCCGGUCUGAGAGGAUGAACGGCCACAUUGGGACUGAGACACGGCCCAGACUCCUACGGGAGGCAGCAGUGGGGAAUCUUCCGCAAUGGACGAAAGCCUGACGGAGCAACGCCGCGUGAGU